rnacentral:rRNA from 1 species
CGCCUCUUGCUUGUAAUAAGAGGUCCAGCCUGCCCAGUGACCAUGUUCAACGGCCGCGGUAUCCUAACCGUGCGAAGGUAGCGUAAUCACUUGUUCUCUAAUUGUGGACUAGUAUGAAAGGCAUCACGAAGGUUAUACUGUCUCCUUUUCCUAAUCAGUGAAACUAAUCUUCCCGUGAAGAAGCGGGAAUGAUACUAUAAGACGAGAAGACCCUAUGGAGCUUUAAACAACAUAGCAGCUCCCACAAUGAUUAAAAUUUUUCUGAAUAAUUAACUUUAUCAGGUAGUAUGACUAUAAGUUUUUGGUUGGGGUGACCGCGGAGCAUAAAACAACCUCCAUGCUGAAAGAACUUCUAUUCUAAGCCAAGAUUAACCUAUCUAAGCAUCAAUAAAUUGACACUAAUUGACCCAAUACAGUUGAUCAACGAACCAAGUUACCCUAGGGAUAACAGCGCAAUCCACUUCAAGAGCUCCUAUCGACAAGUGGGUUUACGACCUCGAUGUUGGAUCAGGGUUUCCCAGUGGUGCAGCCGCUACUAAAGGUUCGUUUGUUCAACGAUUAAAACCCU